rnacentral:rRNA from 1 species
UACGUAGGGGGCGAGCGUUGUCCGGAUUUAUUGGGCGUAAAGAGCUCGUAGGCGGUCCGUCACGUCGGAUGUGAAAUUCCAGGGCUCAACCCUGGACCUGCAUUCGAUACGGGCGGACUAGAGUUCGGUAGGGGAGACUGGAAUUCCUGGUGUAGCGGUGAAAUGCGCAGAUAUCAGGAGGAACACCGGUGGCGAAGGCGGGUCUCUGGGCCGAUACUGACGCUGAGGAGCGAAAGCGUGGGGAGCAAACAGG